CCUCAGAUCUGAGCAUUUUCCUGCCUCGGGAGCCUCCAAUUCCGUGCUUAAAAUAACCCAAACUGUGUCGGGGGAGGGCGCAGAGCGGCAGCAGGAAGCGGCGGGCCCAGCUCCCGGGCACUGUCGGCAUACGCGGGAAUCGAGUCGGCUCUGGAUGCAGGAAGUAUGAAUGAGUGGCAGCAGAAAAGUCCUUUAGAGUGGGAAACGUAUUUGGACAAACUGGUGAAAGUUGCUGUAGUUGAGCAACAUGAAUAUGAAGGAUGGGUCUUAACAGUUGAUCCAGUUUCUGCUAGUAUUGUCCUCGCAACAUUCCCGGAGAAUGAAAGUGUGUCCAUAUCAGUUGUCUUGGGCCACGCUGUCGAGGAGGUAGAAAUACUGAAAGAAGCGGAUGAUGAAAUGAAGCAACGCCUUUCUUGCAUAUUUGAACCUGAAGAAAGCAAAGCCUACAGCCCAGAGGAACUUGAAAAGAGGAAGAACAACUUGAAGAAUUGGCUAGAAACAAACCACAUCCCCAUAACAGAGCAAGGCGAAUCGGGAAAGACGCUGUGUGUGGCAGGGGUAUUGACUAUUGACCCACCAUAUGGCCCAGAAGAGUGCAGCAGCUCCAAUGAGAUUAUUCUGUCUCGAGUUCAAGGUUUAAUACAGGGCUAUCUUGAGAAAAACCAAUGAUGUCUGCUGUUUAAAGCAGUUGCCUUUGGGAAUGAGUGUACCUGGCCUAUUUUAGGAACUGUCUGGGGUAUAAAUAUUUGCAAAAAUGCUGAGUUUAGAUACUUUUGUCUGAUUUUUGUAUGUUAAGAAAGGGUUAAACCAAGCAGUAGAAACUAAAACCAUGAAGCUUUUUUUCCCCUGCACUGUUUUUUACUAAAUACAAGCUGUUGGGUAAUGAUAAUGUAUUAAACUGAUGAUGUAAGUUUACUGUAUCAGGAAUAAGAUAAUGUAUCAGUUGAAUAGCUAUUUUUUUAACAGUAUUGUGCAAGAUGAUAUAUGAUAAAUUUAAACUGUGUUUUCUUCUGCGUUUAAAAUUAAUCUAAUUAUCCAGUGGUGUAGACAUGUUUACCAAACCAGAUGAAAAAAUUGUUCUGUUCUUGUUUUUUUUCCCCACAACUGUUCUCCCAAUUUACAACAUGUAUUAUAAUGUAGGUCCAAGUUUUUAAAAUUAUUAGGGAAAGAUAGCAGGCAAAGAGUAGGUUUUUAAAACAUUUCCUAUCUAUCCUUGUUAUUUUAUAGCAGCAGUGAUUGGAAGACUUGUUUCAUAGAAGAAUUCUGUGCAAUUCAAUGUUUCUGUUUCCUGAUGCUUUGGUUUUAUCUUUUGGCAGCACACAAUGCAAGAAUCAUUGUGUUAUUAUUCCUGAGAUUGUUAAUAUACAGCCCUUGUAUAUUGAUUAUAUACAGCCCUUAUAUUGAUUUGUUCUGUCUUGAGAUCACACCAAAACAUGCGUGAUCAAAUGCACUUUGGAAGCCUGCCUAACCCUUGUUAAUAA